GGAUUAGAUACCCUGGUAGUCCACGCUGUAAACGAUGAAUACUAGAUUUUUGCGAUAUACAGUAAGAGUCUAAGCGAAAGCGAUAAGUAUUCCACCUGGGGAGUACGCCGGCAACGGUGAAACUCAAAGGAAUUGACGGGGGCCCGCACAAGCGGAGGAACAUGUGGUUUAAUUCGAUGAUACGCGAGGAACCUUACCUGGGAUUGAAAAUUAGGAGAACGAUUUAUGAAAGUAGAUUUUCCCUUCGGGGCUCCUAAGUAGGUGCUGCAUGGUUGUCGUCAGCUCGUGUCG
rnacentral:rRNA from 1 species